GAUGAACGCUGGCGGCGUGCCUAAUACAUGCAAGUCGAGCGAACAGAUGAGGAGCUUGCUCCUCUGACGUUAGCGGCGGACGGGUGAGUAACACGUGGAUAACCUACCUAUAAGACUGGGAUAACUUCGGGAAACCGGAGCUAAUACCGGAUAAUAUAUUGAACCGCAUGGUUCAAUAGUGAAAGACGGUUUUGCUGUCACUUAUAGAUGGAUCCGCGCCGCAUUCGCAAGUUGGUAAGGUAAAGGCUUACCAAGGCAACGAGGCGUAGCCGACCUGAGAGCGUGGUCGGCCAGACUGGAUGAGAGACACGGUCCAGACACCUACGGUAGGCAGCAGUAGGGAAUCUUCCGCGAUGGGGGAGAGCCUGACGGAGCAAAGCCGCGUGAGUGAUGAAGGUCUUCGGAUCGGAAAACGCUGUUAUUAGGGAAGAACAAAUGUGUAAGUAACUAUGAACGUCUUGACGGUACCGAAACAGUAAGCCCCGGCUAACUACGUG
rnacentral:rRNA from 1 species